rnacentral:rRNA from 1 species
AGUGAACGCUGGCGGUAGGCCUAACACAUGCAAGUCGAACGGCAGCACAGUAAGAGCUUGCUCUUACGGGUGGCGAGACGCGGACGGGUGAGGAAUACAUCGGAAUCUACUUUUUCGUGGGGGAUAACGUAGGGAAACUUACGCUAAUACCGCAUACGACCUACGGGUGAAAGCAGGGGAUCUUCGGACCUUGCGCGAUUGAAUGAGCCGCUGUCGGAUUUGCUAGUUGGCGGGGUAAAGGCCCACCAAGGCGACGAUCCGUAGCUGGUCUGAGAGGAUGAUCGGCGACACUGGAACUGAGACACGGUCCAGGCGCCUAAGGGAGGCAGCAGUGGGGAAUAUUGGACAAUGGGCGCAAGCCUGAUCCAGCCAUACCGCGUGGGUGAAGAAGGCCUUCGGGUUGUAAAGCCGUUUUGUUGGGAAAGAAAAGCAUCAGGUUAAUACCCCGCUGUUCUGACGGUACCCAAUGAAUAAGCACCGGCUAACUUCGUG